rnacentral:rRNA from 1 species
AUAAUCCGCGCGAUGAGAGAUGCUCGCCCCCCUCAUCUCUAGGGAGAAGAGGCAACUCUCCAACAAGAUGAUGAUGGAGCCGUCCUGUGAGAGGAUGAGCGCACACAAGGGGUCUGACACACGCCCCUUACUCCUACGGGAGGCAGCAGUGGGGAAUAUUGGACAAUGGACCGAGAGUCUGAUCCAGCAAUUGUGUGUGCACGAUGAAGUUUUUCAAAAUGUAAAGUGCUUUCAGUUGGGAAGAAAGAAAUGACGGUACCAACAGAAGAAGUGACGGCUAAAUACGUGCCAGCAGCCGCGGUAAUACGUAUGUCACGAGCGUUAUCCGGAUUUAUUGGGCGUAAAGCGCGUCUAGGUGGUUAUGUAAGUCUGAUGUGAAAAUGCAGGGCUCAACUCUGUAUCGCGUUGGAAACUGUAUAACUAGAGUACUGGAGAGGUAAGCGGAACUACAAGUGUAGAGGUGAAAUUCGUAGAUAUUUGUAGGAAUGCCGAUGGGGAAGCCAGCUUACUGGACAGAUACUGACGCUAAAGCGCGAAAGCGUGGGUAGCAAACAGG